ACUGAGCCACAAGUAAGCCUACCAGAACCUUUCACUGGUGAUAGGAGGUUAUACAGGCAAUUCAAAAAUGCAUGCCAUUUGUUAUUUAACCUAAAACCCAAAACGUACCCUACAGACAGGGUCAGGGUUCUUUCAACAAUUUCAUUUCUUAGGUCAGAACCCAGGGUGUGGGCUGACCACUUAUGUGAAACAAAUGAUCCUUUGCUGAAUUCUUUCUCAGGAUUUUUUUCUGCUAUGGAUGAGCUGUACAGGGAUGCAGAUAUACAACUCACCGCUGAACAAAAAAUGAGGAGUCUCAAGCAAGGAAAAAAAACAGUAGAAGACUACAUCACCAAAUUUAAAUUAUAUGCAUCAGAUUCUGCCUGAAGUUCAGUUUCCCUAAGAAAUCAGUUCAGACUGGGAUUGUCUGACUCAGUUAAAGAUGAACUUGCUCGAAUAGAAAUGCCAAGUACCUUAGAAGCACUUAUGAAAGUGGCAACAUAAAUUGACCGAAGACUCAGGGAACGCAAGGCAGAACGCAGCUAUUCUGAAACUACAUCUAAGCCAUCUUCAUCUACUUACUCACACCAGAGACCUAUAACUACAGAACAAGCAACACCCAUGGAGAUUGGAGUUAUUAGAGGACCCCUUACCGCAGAUGAAAGAAUGAGACGUAAAACCAACCAUCUCUGUAUGUAUUGUGGCAAUUCCAACCAUAUGGUCACAGAUUGCCCCAUCUUACGCAAGAACAAAAAGAUGGGACCUUAGAAGACUCACAACCAAUGCCAUAGUGGACUCCGGAGCUUUUGGCAAUUUCAUAGAUAUCAGCACUGUUCAAAAAAAUAAAAUACCUACCGUAUUAAAAAAAA